rnacentral:rRNA from 1 species
CACAAGCAGCGGAGCGUAGUGGUUUAAUUCGUUGCUACACGGAAGAACCUUACCUGGGUUUAGACAUAUAGGUUGUAGGGAACUGAAAGGGACCGACCUUCGGGGAGCCUAUACAGGUGUUGCACGGCUGUCGUCAGCUCGUGUCGUGAGAUGUUCGGUUAAGUCCGCUAACGAGCGCAACCCUCGUCGUAUGUUAUAUGUGUCAUACGAGACUGCCGGUAAAAGCCGGAGGAAGGUGAGGAUGAUGUCAAGUCAGCAUGACCUUUAUAUCCAGGGCUACACACACGCUACAAUGGUCUGUACAAUGGGUAGCCAAGCCGCGAGGCGGAGCCAAUCCUGAAAGCAGGCCUCAGUUUAGAUUGCAGUCUGCAACUCGACUGCAUGAAGCCGGAGUUGCUAGUAACCGCAGGUCAGCAAUACUGCGGUGAAUACGUUCCCGGGUCUU